AGAGUUUGAUCAUGGCUCAGAGCGAACGCUGGCGGCAGGCCUAACACAUGCAAGUCGAGCGGCCGUAGCAAUACGGCAGCGGCAGACGGGAGAGUAACACGUGGGAACGCGCCCUUCGGUUCGGGAUAACUCAGGGAAACUUGGGCUAAUACCGGAUACGCCCUUACGGGGAAAGAUUUAUUGCCGAAGGAACGGCCCGCGUCCGAUUAGCUUGUUGGUGAGGUAACGGCUCACCAAGGCGACGAUCGGUAGCUGGUCUGAGAGGAUGACCAGCCUCACUGGGACUGAGACACGGCCCAGACUCCUACGGGAGGCAGCAGUGGGGAAUAUUGGACAAUGGGCGCAAGCCUGAUCCAGCCAUGCCGCGUGGGUGAUGAAGGCCCUAGGGUUGUAAAGCCCUUUCGGCGGGGAAGAUAAUGACGGUACCCGCAGAAGAAGCCCCGGCUAACUUCGUGCCAGCAGCCGCGGUA
rnacentral:rRNA from 1 species